rnacentral:rRNA from 1 species
ACCCGGAUUAGAUACCCUGGUAGUCCACGCCCUAAACGAUGUCUACUAGUUGUCGGGUCUUAAUUGACUUGGUAACGCAGCUAACGCGUGAAGUAGACCGCCUGGGGAGUACGGUCGCAAGAUUAAAACUCAAAGGAAUUGACGGGGACCCGCACAAGCGGUGGAUGAUGUGGAUUAAUUCGAUGCAACGCGAAAAACCUUACCUACCCUUGACAUGUACAGAAUCCCGAAGAGAUUUGGGAGUGUUCGAAAGAAAACUGUAACACAGGUGCUGCAUGGCUGUCGUCAGCUCGUGUCGUGAGAUGUUGGGUUAAGUCCCGCAACGAGCGCAACCCUUGUCAUUAGUUGCUACGAAAGGGCACUCUAAUGAGACUGCCGGUGACAAACCGGAGGAAGGUGGGGAUGACGUCAAGUCCUCAUGGCCCUUAUGGGUAGGGCUUCACACGUCAUACAAUGGUACAUACAGAGGGCCGCCAACCCGCGAGGGGGAGCUAAUCCCAGAAAGUGUAUCGUAGUCCGGAUUGUAGUCUGCAACUCGACUACAUGAAGUUGGAAUCGCUAGUAAUCGCGGAUCAGCAUGUCGCGGUGAAUACGCUCCCGGGUCUUGUACACACCGCCCGUCACACCAUGGGAGCGGGUUUUACCAGAAGUAGGUAGCCUAACCGUAAGGAGGGCGCUUACCACGGUAGGAUUCGUGACUGGGGUGAAGUCGUAACAAGGUAACCGUA